rnacentral:lncRNA from 1 species
CCCUUCCCCACCCGCUCCACCCAGCCCUCGGCCGCCAGCGCCGCCCAGCCCCAAGCCUCCCUCACCGCAGCCGCCUAGCCCCGCGCCGCCGUCGCCUGCACCUCCCAGCCCUCGGCCGCCUGCGCCUCCCAGCCCUGCUCCGCCGGCGCCGCCCAGCCCCGCGCCUCCCUCGCCGCAGCCACCUAGCCCUGCGCCACCGUCGCCUGCGCCUCCCAGCCCUGCUCCGCCGGCGCCGCCUAGCCCCGCGCCGCCGUCGCCUGCACCUCCCAGCCCUCGGCCGCCUGCGCCUCCCAGCCCUGCUCCGCCAGCGCCGCCCAGCCCCGCGCCUCCCUCACCGCAGCCACCUAGCCCUGCGCCACCGUCGCCUGCGCCUCCCAGCCCUGCUCCGCCGGCGCCGCCUAGCCCCGCGCCGCCGUCGCCUGCACCUCCCAGCCCUGCGCCACCGUCGCCUGCGCCUC